UACGGAGGGAGCUAGCGUUGUUCGGAAUUACUGGGCGUAAAGCGCGCGUAGGCGGCUUUGUAAGUUAGAGGUGAAAGCCCGGGGCUCAACCCCGGAACUGCCUUUAAAACUGCAUCGCUUGAAUCCGGGAGAGGUGAGUGGAAUUCCUGGUGUAGCGGUGAAAUGCGCAGAUAUCAGGAAGAACACCCGUGGCGAAGGCGGCUCUCUGGGACGGUACUGACGCUGAGACGCGAAAGCGUGGGGAGCGAACAGG
rnacentral:rRNA from 1 species